rnacentral:lncRNA from 1 species
UAACAUGAAUGAAUUAAGAUGUGUUAGGUACAUGUACCAAUUCUUCAUAGUGACUGUAAUCAUAUAUUACUAAUAAAGAAUGUUUAAGGAAGUUUAUAAAGUUACAAUUGUGAGGAUAUUCUCCUUGAUGUCUAUCUUAGAGUACAAAUUUCAUAAAGGCAGAAAACUUCACUGUUUUGUUCAUUAUUAUAACUUCACUGUCUGGCCUAGGAUAAGGGCUUAAAAUAUUGAUGAAAGAGUUACGGUAUUGGAAUCGACUAACAACUGAACAACUGCCACCCUUUCUACUUACCAGGGAUUGAACUCGGGACCUUGCGCUUUCAAGGGGGCUGGUGGAACCACUGAGCUAAAUCCUGGCCCUUACUCAUAGCCCCUUAUCAUCUAAGAGUUGCCCUAAGGGUCUUAAACCUCUGUAUGUCUGAGUUGAUCAAGGAUGGAGAGACAACAGGGCACACCUUGAACAAGACACACAGACAAGGUGUGGGGGAACUGUCCUUAGCAGCAGUUCUGAAAUUAGGAAGGCUGAAGGCUACAUUCCUGGGGGACCAUAUCCACCUUACCCCUCCUCUACCAAGAAGGAAGAACAAAGAAAACCUUCCCUUGGAGCACAAGGCAAGGAUGUCAGCAUCCUGUGUCACCAUGGCAACUAGCCCCUACUCAGGCUCCUCAUAAGGAGCAGAAAAGCAAAAGUCAAAUAGAUCUUCCGCUGGAACAUUCUGUGGGCAAACACUGGGACCAGGGUGUUUGAACCUCUGCGUCCCCACUUAAAUAGGGUGAAUCACUCCUGCAACUGGAGCUAGGAAGCCGGCCAGGUUCCUAAAUAGAAACCCAAAGCAAGACAUUCUUCAUCAGAAAGAAAGAAAGAAAGAAAGAAGAAGGGUAGCUAUCUCUAAAUGUAGAGUUGGUAAAAUGCUUAGUAACAUCAAAAAGAAGACAUUCUUCAUCUUUAAAUUGAGGGCAAUGAUAGUCUUGCAAUGAACAUUAGCGAGAUUGUGAAGUGUCAGUCACACGGCCUGGUCUAAGUGAAUGAUAAUUUAUAUGCAUUAUGAUACAGUUAU